UACCAGCACCCCGAGUGGUCGGGACGUUUAUUGGGCCUAAAGCAUCCGUAGCCGGUUCUACGAGUCUUCCGUUAAAUCCAACUGCUUAACAGGUGGGCUGCGGAAGAUACUAUGGAGCUAGGAGGCGGGAGAGGCAAGCGGUACUCGAUGGGUAGGGGUAAAAUCCGUUGAUCCAUUGAAGACCACCAGUGGCGAAGGCGGCUUGCCAGAACGCGCUCGACGGUGAGGGAUGAAAGCUGGGGGAGCAAACCGG
rnacentral:rRNA from 1 species